GCAGAGGGCCGGAUGGCCGCGGGGGCAUUUGCCCGCGAGGAAAGUCCGGACUCCACAAGGCAACGGUGCCGGGUAACGCCCGGCCGGGGAAACCCGAGGGAUAGCGCCACAGAGAACAGACCGCCUUUGUCCGCAAAGGUAAGGGUGAAACGGUGGGGUAAGAGCCCACCGCGGACUUGGCAACAAGGACGGCACGGCAAGCCCCACCGGGAGCAAUGCCAAAUAGGGACCGCGCGUGAGCAAUCACAGGGCUGCUUUGGCCCGAGCAGGUCCGGGUUGGCAGCUAGAGAGCGUCUGGCAACAGGCGCUCUAGAUGAAUGGUCAUCGAACCGGGGCAACCCGGGGAACAGAAUCCGGCUUAUAGGCCCUCUGCGCGU
rnacentral:RNase_P_RNA from 1 species